UUAACUGUGUUUUUUUACAGUAAAAUACUGUUUUUAUAGUUUUACUGUAAUAUCACAGUAAUGCAGAUUCGCUCACUGACUAUUAACUAUCUGCUGUGAUAUGACAGCAAAUUACUGUAAAAAUACCUAUUCAGCUGAGAACGAAGGCGCCAUCUUCAGUCUGGCUACUUUACAUCUCACGACGACACGACAGGACGCAGGAAUAUUCUCUUGGCACUGACGAUGCUAUCUGAUGUAUAAAGGUGCUUCCUGGGCAUCAACCCUGAUACAGGAUCUAAAUCCAAGAAGAAGCAGGGAGGCAUCAAUCAGCAAGUUUGUUCUCUGCUGCGCAAACUUGUGGAUUUUGAAUGGAUGGCAACAUGAUCAGAUUUUGUGUUAAAGGAGAACUCCGGUCAAUUUUAACAUUGAGCUCAUUUUUUUGUAAAUUUGGAGUGCUGUCAAUACAGAGAACAACAACAAAAAUCGGUGUUGCCUACACUUGUUAUCCUCUUUUUAAAAUUUGCACCCUGUUGACUUCAAUGGGGCAAUGUUUAAACCUGCUUUUAGCCUCUUAACAUCCUUGAUGUGUCAUUACAAGUGCACAGCCAAUGUGAGUGAUUCCUUCAGAGUGAACACAAGUGAAUCUGAUUGCAGUAGAUGUGAAAAAUAUGAAUAAAAAUGAAGUUUUUGUUUAGUAUAUGUUUAGUUACCUAUGAUCACGCGCGUGAACUCGACAAUCAACUACUUUGGACUUCAACCAAAAACAGGAUGUAAAUACAGGUAUGAGCGCUGGCCGAAUUAACUUCAUUUUUAUUCAUAUUUUUCACAUCUACUGCAGUCAGAUUCACCCGUGUUAACUCUAAAAAAAUUCACUCACAUUGGCUGUGCACUUGUAAUGACACAUCAAGGAUGUUAAGAGGGUAAAAGCAGGUUUAAAAUAUUGCCCCAUUGAAGUCAACAGGGUGCAAAUUUUAAAAAGAGGAUAACAAGUGUAGGCAACACCGAUUUUUGUCGUUGUUCUCUGUACUGACAGCACUCCAAAUUUACAAAAAAAUGAGCUCAAUGUUAAAAUUGACCGGAGUUCUCCUUUAAGUAUGUACUCGCAUGAAACCUGUGUGUUGGGGCUUAGGUUACCAUGUUAUUUGUUUUAAUGGUAUUACUUUUUUCAUUUGCUCUGGUCAUUGUUGGCUCUCUCCGUUUUUACUUGCCAUAUCGCCACUGAAUAUGUUGGACUGCCCUUCUGGUCAAGACCUUCACUUCUACCUAUUGUUUUGGUAUUUACCUCUAGCUGUGUUUUUUGGAAUGCCAUCUCGUUGCCAACUCUUGCCCGUUGCCGACUCUUGCCCGCUGUUAUGCAAUGACUCUUGCAACGUUUGUUAUGAUAUUGUUGUAUCAAUUUUAUUGAAAAUAAAAUCAAUUGUGGAAACUGUUGUUUAAUCUUUUUUUUACUACUUUUAU